rnacentral:RNase_P_RNA from 1 species
AGAGACCACCAGCGUCGUGGCAACACGGCGGCUUGGCAAGCCCCCUCCGGAGCAAACGCAUAUAGGAGCGCUAUGGUGUGGCCCGCACCGCGCUCGGGUAGCGCGCUAGAGCCUGGCGGUGACGUCAGGAGUAGAUAAAUGGCCGUCCACGACAGAACCCGGCUUAUCGGCCCGCUUCGCAC